GGACCCGACUGCUAUCGGAUUGGGGCUAAGCCAUGCGAGUCAACUCCGCAAGGGGUGGCGCACGGCUCAGUAACACGUAGUCAACCUACCCUAGGGACGGGGAUAACCUCGGGAAACUGAGGCUAAACCCCGAUAGGCUAUAACUUCUGGGAUGGGUUAUAGCUGAAAUCUAUAUGGCCCUAGGAUGGGACUGCGGCCGAUCAGGUUGUUGGUGGGGUAAUGGCCCACCAAGCCUAUAACCGGUGCGGGCUCUGAGAGGAGGAGCCCGGAGAUGGGCACUGAGACAAGGGCCCAGGUCCUACGGGCGCAGCAGGCGCGAUG
rnacentral:rRNA from 1 species